AACCCAUGGUGAGGGCAUUCCCUCAAAAGGUCCUUGUAUCUCUCCCAUGCAUCGUAAAGUGUUUCUAAAUCCAUCUGCACAAAAGAAGAGAUAUCAUUAUGUAAUGUA
rfam:Gossypium arboreum cultivar AKA8401 contig_118194_1, whole genome shotgun sequence.